GAUGAACGCUAGCUACAGGCUUAACACAUGCAAGUCGAGGGGCAGCAUGAGAUUAGCUUGCUAAUCUUGAUGGCGACCGGCGCACGGGUGAGUAACGCGUAUCCAACCUUCCCCCUACUCAGGCAUAGCCCGGUGAAAACCGGAUUAACUCCUGAUAGUUUCACUAGAUGGCAUCUGACGGUGAAUAAAGCUCAGCGGUAAGGGAUGGGGAUGCGUCUGAUUAGCUUGUUGGCGGGGUAACGGCCCACCAAGGCGACGAUCAGUAGGGGUUCUGAGAGGAAGGUCCCCCACAUUGGAACUGAGACACGGUCCAAACUCC
rnacentral:rRNA from 1 species